UCAAGUUUUAAAAUCAAUCAAUUGAGCUGUCAUAAAAGCAAGGUUAGGUGGAAAAAUCAUUACAAAUUAUGAUAAAAUAAGAGCCUCCCACAUGUCUCUCUUUGGUAUUUUUCUGGUCACAACCAUUCUGGGAGCAAAAUAUGUGGGGGCACAUCCUUCAUAUUAUUGUGAUUUUGGUUUUUGCGAGUCGGAGCAGUAUUGUUGUGGGGAUAAUAAAUGUUGUAUGAAAGUAACAGACCUGUGGUACUUUUGGUUUGGUAUUAUUUUAGCAGUUAUCAUUGUCAUUGCUUUAAUCUUCUUCAAAUUCUAUAGAAGGCGAACUAAGUACAACAAAUACGACAGAGUACCCGUUGUCCACUAAUUAAUGUAUUACCAAUUUAUUAUUAUUUAUUAAAUAAUUAUUUUUA